rnacentral:rRNA from 1 species
AUUGAACGCUGGCGGCAGGCUUAACACAUGCAAGUCGAGCGGAGAUGAGGUGCUUGCACCUUAUCUUAGCGGCGGACGGGUGAGUAAUGCUUAGGAAUCUGCCUAUUAGUGGGGGACAACAUUCCGAAAGGAAUGCUAAUACCGCAUACGUCCUACGGGAGAAAGCAGGGGAUCUUCGGACCUUGCGCUACUAGAUGAGCCUAAGUCGGAUUAGCUAGUUGGUGGGGUAAAGGCCUACCAAGGCGACGAUCUGUAGCGGGUCUGAGAGGAUGAUCCGCCACACUGGGACUGAGACACGGCCCAGACUCCUACGGGAGGAAGCAGUGGGGAAUAUUGGACAAUGGGGGGAACCCUGAUCCAGCCAUGCCGCGUGUGUGAAGAAGGCCUUAUGGUUGUAAAGCACUUUAAGCGAGGAGGAGGCUACUGAGACUAAUACUCUUGGAUAGUGGACGUUACUCGCAGAAUAAGCACCGGCUAACUCUGUGCCAGCCGCCGCGGUAA